rnacentral:rRNA from 1 species
GACGAACGCUGGCGGCGUGCUUAACACAUGCAAGUCGAACGGAAAGGUUCUGCUUUUGUGGGGUGCUCGAGUUGCGAACGGGUGGGUAACACGUGAGUAACCUGCCCUUGACUUUGGGAUAACCUCAGGAAACUGAGGCUAAUACCGGAUAGGAGCUCCUGCUGCAUGGUGGGGGGUGGAAUGUUUAUGCGGUUGGGGAUGGACUGGCGGCGUAUCGGCUUGUUGGUGGGGUAGUGGAAUACCAAAGCAUCGACUGGUCGCCGACCUGGGAGGGUGACCGGCCCCAUUACGACUGAGAUAAGGCCCAGACGCGAAUGGGAGGCAAGGGGGGAGAGGAGUACAGAGUAGGAGGGAGCCAGAUGCGACGAAGCCGCGUGCGGGAAGACAGGCUGUGGGUUGUAAACGGAUUUCGACUGAGAAGAAACGUGAGUGACGGUAAUGGACAAAGAAGCACCGGCUAACUACGUG